AAGUCGUAACAAGGUUUCCGUAGGUGAACCUGCGGAAGGAUCAUUACAAAUCUUUGCUCGAGCUGCCGCAAGGUGGUGAGAGACAUUAGCACAAGGCCGCAAGGUCUUGAUGUUCACGCUUGUAUGUUUGACAGAGUUUAUUUGUGACUAUAAUAAUGACAACUUUUAACAAUGGAUCUCUUGGCUCUU
rnacentral:misc_RNA from 1 species